rnacentral:rRNA from 1 species
UACGGGGGGGGUAAGCGUUGUUCGGAAUUACUGGGCGUAAAGGGCUCGUAGGCGGCCAACUAAGUCGGACGUGAAAUCCCUCAGCUUAACUGGGGAACUGCGUCCGAUACUGGAUGGCUUGGAUUUGGGAGAGGGAUGCGGAAUUCCAGGUGUAGCGGUGAAAUGCGUAGAUAUCGGGAGGAACACCAGUGGCGAAGGCGACUUCCUGGCCUGUUCUUGACGCUGAGGCGCGAAAGCUAGGGUAGCAAACGGGG